rnacentral:rRNA from 1 species
UACGGGGGGGGCAAGCGUUGUUCGGAAUUACUGGGCGUAAAGGGCUCGUAGGCGGCCAACUAAGUCAGACGUGAAAUCCCUCGGCUUAACCGGGGAACUGCAUCUGAUACUGGAUGGCUUGAGUUCGGGAGAGGGAUGCGGAAUUCCAGGUGUAGCGGUGAAAUGCGUAGAUAUCUGGAGGAACACCGGUGGCGAAGGCGGUUCUCUGGGCAUUACCUGACGCUGAGGAGCGAAAGUGUGGGGAGCGAACAGG